rnacentral:rRNA from 1 species
CAGUAGCCACGGUAAUAUGUAGGGUGCGAGCGUUAAUCGGAAUUACUGGGCGUAAAGCGUGCGCAGGCGGUUCGUUAAGACAGAUGUGAAAUCCCCGGGCUUAACCUGGGAACUGCAUUUGUGACUGGCGAGCUAGAGUAUGGCAGAGGGGGGUAGAAUUCCACGUGUAGCAGUGAAAUGCGUAGAGAUGUGGAGGAAUACCGAUGGCGAAGGCAGCCCCCUGGGCCAAUACUGACGCUCAUGCACGAAAGCGUGGGGAGCAAACAGGAUUAGAUACCCCGGUAGUCCCUGUCUCUUAUAC